CGAGAUGGAGAUUUUGGGGAUUUCUUUCUCCGAGGGAGGUCGAGAGAACUCUCAUUCUCUUCGUCUCCUGGUCUGGAGGCGACGCCGACGCGGCAGCGAUUCGACCUCGCCGUCGUCGGUUCGACGUCGAUUUCGAUCUGUGAGUUCGGGCUUGCCAUCGUUGAUUCGCCAGUGAUCUAUUCCUUCCUUUAUCCGUUUGAUGCUGGAACUAUUCAUUCCACAAAUUCCUGAAUUUGAUUAUUUCUGAUGCCUGCUAUCAACAUCUGUAGUUUGAUUAGUUAAUAUGGUCCAGUACUCCUGACUUGUCAACUUCAAUGGCAAUAUACUAAUAUGCACAGAAAAGGUAAGAUUUUAAAUAAGUAUUAAAAUUAAAAUUUACAUGUUGUAUGUAUUACAAUUAAAUUUUCUUAUUAUGUAAAUUUAUCACAAUUGUACUGUAAUUUUUGUUUUCAAAAGAAUAAACCUGAAUGAACAUUGUAGGCUUUUUGACAUGCUUUUUGUACCUCAACAUUUAUACUUUAAGAUUGUCUUCUAGUUCUGUAUGUAAGUAAUUUAGUUAUAGAUUUCAUCAGGUUUAAAGUGCAUGCGCAGUUGAACAUUGUGUAGUGCUGCUGUAUGGACCUAUUUAAUCAGUUUAAAGUGCAUGUGAAAUUAAGGUUUAAUCUAGUUGAACAUUGUACAAAUUUGAUUGCUACAUGAUCGAGUACAAAUAUGUUUUAGUCUAAUUGAAUUGAUUGAGUAAUAGCAUGUAUUUGAUUCAGUAUA
rnacentral:lncRNA from 2 species